rnacentral:rRNA from 1 species
GACGAACGCUGGCGGCGUGCUUAACACAUGCAAGUCGAGCGGUAAGGCCCUUUCGGGGGUACACGAGCGGCGAACGGGUGAGUAACACGUGGGUGACCUGCCUUUAGCUCUGGGAUAAGCCUGGGAAACUGGGUCUAAUACCGGAUAUGACUCCAUGAUGCAUGUUGUGGGGUGGAAAGCCUUGUGCGGCUGGAGAUGGGCCCGCGGCCUAUCAGCUUGUUGGUGGGGUGAUGGCCUACCAAGGCGACGACGGGUAGCCGGCCUGAGAGGGCGACCGGCCACACUGGGACUGAGAUACGGCCCAGACUCCUACGGGAGGCAGCAGUGGGGAAUCUUGCGCAAUGGGCGAAAGCCUGACGCAGCGACGCCGCGUGAGGGAUGACGGCCU